AACGCCCUGAAGAGAUUGCGAGAGUUGAUGCGACAGCGAUUAGUACAGAUUGUUUAAGUUAUCUUAGUUAGUUAACUAAGCUAAGCUACUUUUGGGGAGGGAUUGCUUUCCAAUUGGUUUCUAGAAAAAAAAAAAAAAGGAGCUGGAACUGGAACUGGAACUGGAACUGGUUCUGGAUGAAAGCGAUUGAAAUACCUAGAAAUCAGUUAUAGAUCUGCAUAGAAUCCUACAAGAACAGUGCGUUACGAAAGUGACAGUUUAAGGUUACUUAACAGCAUUUCUUUAAAAUUGAUUUUAAGAUUUUUAAUAAUUUAUAUUUCAUUAAUAAAAGCAAACAGGUUAAAACCUUUUCUUGUCCUUAACAAACGCACUGUCCACAAAUAUAGUCAAAGAUAAUAUAUAUAUAUAUAUAUAGAUUAUUUAAGGAAUACAGUCGACACUACAGAGAUAUUAAUGUUAGCAACUUAAGCGUAAGUAUUACUCACUAAAGGUUAUUCGUUUACAAAAGAUAUCAUACAUAUGGUAGGAAUAGGUUAAUGAGAUAUUAGAUAGGUAAGAAAAAUAAUGCCGGAUUAACUAACUGAUCUGAUCCUGUUAAAAAAACUAUUCUGAGUUACUAGAAAAGUAUAAGAAAGCAGAGAGUAACAUAUAGUAUGGCUGCUCGAUAAGUAAUGACGGGUCAUGCCUCGACACGUGUUGGUGAUCCUUUGGGACUGGCAAGUUUAUAUGAAAGCGAAGGAAUGGAUGAAAAGUUCAUUGCAUGUUGCAUAAUUAAAUAGAGAGCUUUUAAAACAAUAAAAACAAGAAGUAUCGGGGGGGUCAACGAAAAAGUGGAAAAGCGGAAAACCAAAGACAAUUGAAAACUUGAAAUACGUUUAAAGCUUUCUCCACCACUUAACCCCAUGAGAAGCGCAAAAGCUUUCUACAGCGAAAAGCUUUUUAUACGAAAAGCGAGGGGGUUAAGUAUAGUCUAGUCCGCCAUGGGAAUUGCAUAUACAAAUUGUUUGUUGUCUUUUUUAUUCGUGUUAAAUGUGGCUUGAAAGCUUUUUUCGGGGGAAGCCUUUAAAUGUAGCUGGGAAUCCCCUUUUUCUGAACGCUCAUUUACCAUUACUUCUUCUUCUUCUCCUAUCUUUACCGGUAGUUUUUUUUUUAACAGACAAAAGCUCUUUCUCGCUGCCCUGAAGCUUCCAUAAAUGUUUUACCGUCCCCAUUCUAUUUCUCCUUGUGGACGACUACGACGACGACGACGACUUCUUAUCCCCCUGACUAUUGCCGAAAGUGUCUGACAGCGAACCCAACGCAAUUAUCUAUAAAGACUGGAGAAAAAAAAACAAAAAAUACAAAAAAAGAAUACAAAAAAAUGUAUAAAAAAAAGGAAAUAGGGAGGCGCGGUCGUGGGUUGAGAAAAUAGGAAAACGCGACGGCAAAUGUCAAAGAGUGAAAACAUUCAUCAAUCAUGAUAUUUAUGGACGGGCAAAAGUUCAGACACGUUGGCGUAAAUUGAUAUUAAUUAUAAAAGAAGAGAGAUGAAAGAUAUAUAGAUAGAGUGACUAAGAAUGGUAUUUUACUUUUUCGUAGCACUUAACAAUUCAAUUGCCAGAUGAAUAAUUCAUUUGCCGACUGCAGGAAUGAGAUGUCUUAAUUGCGUUUCUUGGAUUUCCUUCCAUUAAACGUUCCAAAUGGUAAAUGCUCUUAGGCAAGCCCACCUACUAAGACCCACAUUUUCAUUCUCUCCCCCCUAUUUUUUCCCCUUCAAUCAAAUGGCGUGUAAACAAAAUUUUUUAAUUAUGCCCACUGAAAGUAAUGCGAAAGCAAAAUAAAAAAAAAAUAUAUAUAUAUAUUAUAGGGGGGCUGUAGGUGGCCAAGCGGGAAAAAUGAACAAAAUAAUUGUUGAGCCAACGCCGCGUAUGAGCAAUAUUGAUUUUCACUAAUUGGAUUUUAGCGCGCGAAAAACGUUAAAUGCUCGACAAGAAAGAGAGAGAGAGAGAAGAAAUAAAUUCAACGAAAACAAACCGAAAAGAAUAACAAAAACAACAACAACAACAACAACAAGAAAGUAAGCAAAUCACAAAUUGCCAGCAUUUUAUGAUUAUUAGAAAAAAAAAAUCGAAAUGGCAUAAAUAAAGAAAUCCAAACUGAGCAUAAAAAA